rnacentral:lncRNA from 1 species
CAUCACGUUCGCCUCUGCCGCUGCAAUUUUUCAGAUCGAUUUGGCCGUAGAAAACGACAUCCACAACUCAUAGAUCGCUCUCAUAUCUCUUUCGUCAAAUCAAAUCUGUCGCGAGGGGCUUCAAUCCGAGCAAUUUCAGCCUUCUUUCAACGAAGGUAACAAUCAUUAGAUUAUUUAAUCAACGUUUACACAACUUGAUAAGAAGGUAACAAUUAUUAUAUUUUUUGGUUAAUUAUUAUCAAUUUUUUCUUCUGUUUUGUUUUAUGUAUUUGGUUCAAUUAAGCUGAAGGGCUUUUGGAUCUGGAUUUGUUUUUUUUUUAUUUUUGAAAAAGGAUAUUUUGAAUUUGGUUAAUGUUUUAUUGUUUAAAUAAUGUAGACAACUAUUCAUUCAUUAUUUUUUUAUUGUUUUUACGAUCUUAAUUUACUUUAGAAAACAUAAAUUGAUAUAUAAUGAAUAAUGUCAUCGGAAAAACAACAUAGUAAUAUAAAAACAACUUUAAUUGGCAAUUUGUGGAUAAAUCAUGGACUUUAUUGUUCAUUUUUUAGUGGACUUUUGUUUUUAUUAUUGUUCUUCUAAACAUUAAACCAAAACAUAAAUCUUAUAUGUCUGUGUUAUUGUUCUUCUGUUGCAUUGUAUAGUGUACUUCGUUAAUUUCAUAGUCGAUUUCAAUAAAUUUAUAGUGGAUUUCGAUAAGUGUAUAUAAAGUGGUUUUCGAUGAAUUUGUAGUAAAUUUUGAUAAGUAUAUAAAGUGGUUUUCAUGUUUAUAUAGCUAUUUAUACAGAUUGGUUUUCAUGUUUAUAUAAUUGUUUAUGCAUAGUGGAUUUUGAUAAGUAUAUACAAAUUGGUUUUCGAUGAAUUUGUAGUGAAUUUUGAUAAGUAUAUAAAGUGGUUUUCAUGUUUAUAUAGCUAUGUAUACAGAGUGGCUUUCAUGUUUAUAUCGUGGUUUAUGCAUAUUGGAUUUCGAUAAGUAUAUACAAAGUGGUUUUCGAUGAAUUUGUAGUGAAUUUUGAUAAGUAUAUAAAGUGGUUUUCAUGUUUAUAUAGCUAUUUAUACAGAGUGGUUUUCAUGUUUAUAUAGUUGUUUAUGCAUAGUGGUUUUCAUUGUUGUUCGCUCAAUUAUUUUUCGUUUCAACAAAUUGAUGCAAUAUUAGUAGGUUGAAAAAAAAUUGUUUAUGAAAGUUUCCAUAAUUACCAAGAUGGUGUGACACCAAGGUUUUAUUUGGAAAUUGGUUUUCAUUUGCUAAUUAACUUUUUUUUCUUAUUCAUAUUGAUUUAGUGACCCUCGUCGGCUUUGUUGGUGGUGUACUGGUCUUGCACUUCUUCCUGGACAUAGUAGUGGUUUACGUUUCAAAUAGUGGAUUUUCGAAUAGUGAAUUUACGUUUUUUUUGUUUUUUAGUUUUGUGUUGUAUUAGUAGUGAAUUAAGUAUGUUUUUAGUGAAUUUCAAUAAGUUUGUUGUGGAUUAUGUUAAUAUUAAAG